rnacentral:rRNA from 1 species
AUGAACAUAAUAGACAGAUUCUUGGAAAAACAAGUGGUGCCAAGGAAGAAGUUGCAGUUAAUUGGAGUGACAGCUAUGCUCCUUGCUUGCAAAUAUGAGGAAGUCCCAGUUCCACUUGUUGAAGAUCUAGUGCAGGAAAAGUCGAUCCUAAACACUUUGGAGUUCAACAUGUCUGUAGCAACACCAUAUGUUAUCAUGAGAAGGUUUCUGAAGGCUGCUGAUUCUGACAAGCAGGUCUCUUCAAAGAAUUAUCAAAUUUAUUGUUCGGCUACUCAGGUAUGGUGGACUACCUCUUCCUCGGCCACUACCUCAGCCUCUUCCUCAGUUCUGAUCUGGUCCAUGUCUUCUCCAAGCUGCCACAUGAUCUCAACUUCAUGUCCACACGGAGAAACAUUAAUUGGAUUGAAGGUUUCAGAUGGCGAAGCCGGUCAUCAUCGACCCGGGACUCUACAUGAAGAACAUUGCCGGAGCGUGCCAACAUCCUUCAAGUUCUUCUCCGAUUAUAUGGUUGAGAAGCCCAGCGUCGACAAGAGCGUCAGCCUUAAGCUCUGCAUCCUCCUUUACAAGCAGUACGGAACCAUCAUGUCACCAUGGCUGACCGUCGGGCCCCAAUUCGACUAG